rnacentral:lncRNA from 10 species
UAUGCAUGUUUUUUGACAGUUGUAGUCAGAAAGCAGAAUUAAGUUUGGGGAUUAGAUCAUAAUCCCAAAACAUACAAUCACAAAUGUUGAAAUCCUGACAUCCAAAUUCUGGGGAAGUGAUUAGUGUGUUUUGGGUUGCAUGCAGGAUAGUUGCAUCAUGUCAGUUGUAUCAUGUUAGGCACAACUAUUACCAUGUUAUUGUCUUUAUUUGGAAAUUAAAUAUGGCUUAAGGAGAUGCGUAUGAGUGCCAAGCUGACAAGGGGUGGACUUGUGGACCUAAUUUUAGGUAUCAGCUUGACCAGAUUAAGGAAUAUCAGAAACCUGGUAAAACAUUAUUUUGUUUUACACAUUGAGGGUGUGUCUAUGAGAGUGUUUCCAGAAGAGAUUAGUGUAUAAAUCUGAGUGUACUAGGUGGAGACUAUCUGCCCUCAAUGUUGGCGGGCACCAUCCAAUCAGCCAGUGGCCAGGAGAGAACAAAUACUUAAGACAAAAUGGGCUGGGAUCGGUGGCUCAUGCCUGUAAUCCUAGCACUUUGGAAGGUCGAGGUGGGUGGAUGACCUGAGGUCAGGAGUUCGAGACCAGCCUGACCAACAUGGCAAAACCCUGUCUCUGCUAAAAAUACAAAAAUUAGCCAGGCGUGGUGGUGCACACCUGUAAUCCCAGCUACUUGGGAGGCUGAGACAGGAGAAUUGCUUGAACCCAAGAGGCAGAGGUCGCAGCAGUGAGCCGAGAUCACGCCACUGUAUUCAGCCUGGGUGAUAAGCUGAGACUCUGUCUCAAAAAAAAAAAAAAAAACAAAAAAAAACAAAAAACAAAAAAACGCAAAAUAGCAAAACGGACUCUCUGGGUUCUGCUGCUUGGAUAUCAGAAAUCUGACUCCAUGAAAGUGCAUUAUCACAAUACUGACUUUGUGUAUAAGCAUUGAGUGUGUACAUAAAAUGUUGAAACUUCCUCGAUAAAUGAGAUAUCCUUUUCGUACAUCUGCAUUUGUGAAAGAUAAAAUUUCUUGAGAUCUCAGCUCUUUGGGUGACUGCAUAUGCAGUGGUGACCCAGCACAGUUUCCAUCAAUCUCAUCAAAAGACUUGAGGUUGUUGGGCACAGUAUUUCAGAUGACCAGAGUUAAAAAGCUGGGUAUACACAAUUAACAACCAAAGUGAUAUGCAUUUAUACCUUUCCCUUUAUGACCAAUUUCUUUAUAAAUAUGGCUCAUCUGCUCAUAACUGUUAGACCCACCCAAAUGUUAUUAGUAACCUGAGUGUUUAUGCUUGCAAAAAUGUAUGUUAUUAUUGUCUGUUUUAUUAUAUUAAGUGGUGUAUAAAGUAUUCUGUUGUGUUUUUAUGUUUCUCAAAUAAGUUCCCCUUUAAAAAAUAAAUAUCUUUAAGUUUUUAAAACU